ACCAAUAGUCCGCAGAGCUCUAUCCAGAUGACAGACAACUCUCUGUGCCACCAAUUAGAAGAGCCCCAAUCUAAUGGUCCCUCUGGGAGUCUGUCAGGAGACCGCCUCAGCGAUGCUAGCUCCCCUUCUUCUACUGGCAAUGGUUACCAGUGUGACAGUGAAAGUGGAGACCAGG
rnacentral:lncRNA from 1 species